rnacentral:lncRNA from 1 species
UUUUUUUUUUUUUUUUUUUUUUGGUUUUCUGAGACAGGGUUUCUUUGUGUAGCCCUGGCUGUCCUGGAACUCACUCUGUAGACCAGGCUGGCCUCGAACUCAGAAAUCCGCCUGCCUCUGCCUCCCGAGUGCUGGGAUUAAAGGCGUGUGCCGCCACUGUCCUGCAGAGUGGGUUAUUCCUUAAGGGGCAGGUCCCCCGCUUGUCUUUGAGGCUCCAGUAACCUAGUCUCCUAUGUUAUAUCUGGGUAAAGAUUUCUUAUUGUUGGUGGUGGUGGGCUUUUUUGGUUUUGUCAGGGUUUCCUAGAUCACAGCUUAUAAUUUCUUCAUCAGCAUUAUAAAUUCUCCAUCCUGGACCACAAAGGGCCUUUUCUAUAGAUCAUUCCUGGAGAAUUCAAGGCAGAUUUAUAAUAUUUAUUUAUUUAUUUAGAGGCAGGGUCUUGUUCUAUAGCCUAGAUUGGCUUUGAGUUUAGAAUUCUUUUGCUUCAACUUCCCAAGUGCUGGAUGAUAGGCUGGCCGAUUUCCAGCUGGGGGCAGAUUUUGGUAUUAAAUUGUUUAAUUGACAUCCUCCAGCUCCACUUCCUGAUGCAGAACUCUGCACUGAAAUCCUUGAGGUGGGGGCCAUAUAUUCUAUGUUACUUCCUCAGAGAACUAACUGAAAAUAUGCAGCCUGAGUACUAAGUAAUUCUUGGUUGACUGACGUGGAACUUAACACAGGAAACAAGAUAGCAAAUACAACAUAAAAAGUAUGUGCGCAUUAUAAACAUCCAGGCCGUUUGCAGCGCUACUGUGGUAGGUCAUAAGUAAUUAAACAGAAUGCUCAGUUGAGAAACAACUUUGAAGAACAAAUAGUAUGUGGCUUGACAAAAACAACAUCCCCAAAUGAGAAUGACAGCCACGCUCAGAAACACAGCUCCUGGAAGACAACAAAACUCCACACUGAGUUGGCAUACAAAGGGCUAGCCCUUCACCCACAAAGCUUGGUGAAGACACGUGGGAAGUGUUUUAAAAACAAGGAUGUUGAAUUAAAUGAGGCAUACGGUAGCAACUGUGGUUGCUUCUAAGAAAAAUGGGAACAAAAGGAACUGCACUGCACACUUGCACAGGGAGACAGGGGCUUGCAAUCAUGACACAUGAGCUGACCUGUACCAGAGUCUGCAAAGGAAAGAAAUCUAAGAAUUAGAAGGACCCAAUAACAGCAAAAGACAGAUGAGCUAAGAGGCUUCAAGCUGUGCGCUAGAGGAAAGUUACAGUUAAGACACAGUUGGAGCUGGGAGUGGUGGCGCAGGCACUUGGGAGGCAGAGGCAGGUGGAUUUCUGAGUUCAAGGCCAGCCUGGUCUACAGAGUGAGUUUCAGGACAGCCAGGGCUACACAGAGAAAACCUGUCUCGAGAAAAAAACAAACAAACAAACAAAAAAAGACACAGUUGGAAACAAAAUUGAAAAGCCAUCUUAACAGGCAUAGAUUCCUAAAGACAUCUAUGGAGAUGUCUUCUUGGCAGAACCAUAAACAGGACAAGUGGAGGAGUUGGAGAUCUAAGUCACCAUGUGGAAGAACCAAGUGAGAAGGCACGCUUCCUCAGGUGGACGAGCUUGGAACAGAAUGGUUAGAGAACCAAUACCCUCCAAGGCUUGCAUAAACAUGGCAGGAAACUGGGUUUAAAAUCAAGGGGUCAGGAUGAAAGUUGUAUCAAAAUAGACACUGUAGAGAGUUUAAAAAGUGAGGUCUUAAGUAUCUAAGAGUUCCCUGGGCAUUUACUGGCACAAUUCUUUUAAGACCCCACGAAGGAAAACUGGUUCUGAUUUUAGAUAGGGCUGCAAUGCAAACUAACAUUUGGACGUGGCAUCUUCAGUCAACUAUUGAAAAAACAUAUUGUUCAGUGUGCUCUGUCCUACCAUGUUCGCUAUAGCAUCUGUUGCCACACUGCUGGCUCUUCGGCCUCAACCACAGCAAGCAAUAUGGAAGUGUUUAUUUAUUGUGACUUUCUGUAUGUCUGUGCAUAAAGAUACAUGCCUCAGCACCCGUGUGGUGGGGCGAGAACAACUGAUGGGCAUCUAUCAUGUCUCUUUCUAUCAUGUUGGUCUUGAAAAUUGAGCUCAGUUUGUUAAGUGUGGUAAAUUUUACUCACCUAUCCUGGCUGGCCUGUUUUUAAAGCUAGGAAAAAACAUGACUCCAGACCUCAGAAGUUUUAACUUGAAAUGUGCUAUACUUUCCAACCCCCAAAUUUGGAUUGUGAUGAUCACUGUUAUCUUGACUUGUGAAUUUAUUUAUAAAAUUCUGACG